CGCUGGACUGCGAUACACCUUCCCCAGACCCUGCGACCUACCUAUUACUUAAUUUGAGUCUGACGGUGAAGAACAGCCUGUAGGUCCAGGUCACAUGAUACCAAGGCAGAAACAGAGAGAGUUCAUCAACUCCGGAAGGCUUCCUACUCCACAAGCACAGGACAGAUGGACCAACAAGAGUCAGCCCUUGGAUGCAAAGCCCAUUUAGCUCUGCCGUACUGAAAGGAGCAGCAGAUGGAGAAACGACAAUACCAUACCAAGUGCUCCUGGGGACCAGAGGCUAGGUAGGUCCCGGUCUCUCGGGCAGUCAGAGUGACCUCCACUGAAGUGCCUCCAAAGAUCAAGUCCACGUGAGCAACUGUGUGAAGGUGAUUUUCCACAUUCUGCUCCCUGUCCCCUCACAAUGGUGUGUGUGCUGCAACAUCACAAAGAUGGCACUGUGCGAGCCUGAGCUCUGUAAUACAGAAUCCUGGGGCUAUUAAUAUGGGGGCUGGCGAGCUAGCUCAGCAGAUAAAGGCUCUCAACGGCCAAGCCUAACGGCCUGAGUUUAACCCCUUCACCCCACAUGGUAGAAGGUAGGAGAGUUAUCUCCUGACUUCCACAUACACUUAUACUGGCCCCACCACCACCCCCU